rnacentral:rRNA from 1 species
GACGAACUGUCCUAACGUUGUUCGGAAUCACUGGGCUUAAAGGGCGCGUAGGCGGUCCGACAAGUCAGGGGUGAAAUCCUGCAGCUUAACUGCAGAAGUGCCUUUGAUACUGUCGGUCUUGAGGGAGAUAGGGGUGUGCGGAACUCACAGUGGAGCGGUGAAAUGCGUUGAUAUUGUGAGGAACGCCGGAGGCGAAAGCGGCGCACUGGAUCUCUUCUGACGCUGAGGCGCGAAAGCUAGGGGAGCAA